AUGUUGAAAGGCCUUUCAGAGGUGGCGUCAAGAGGUGCCAAGACUGACAAAGGAUUCAAAGAGGUUGAAAAAUUGAAAGUUGCAAAGCGUAUAUCUUCUUUCGUUGGUUAUGACGUGUCUAUUACGCAAGUGCACAAUCAUAUUCGCAAGUGGAGGAAUAGGUGGACAAGGCUUGUUUAUUUGAAGGCUUUAAGUGGGGCACUUUGGGAUGAUGACAAGAAGAUGGUAGUGCUAGAAGAACAACACUAUUUGGGCCACACUCAGGAUCAUCCAGCAGAUGCUGAAUUGCUCAAUUCUCCACUAGAGAACUACGACUAUAUGGAACUUUGCUUUGCUAAUAAGCAUGCCACUGGGAAAUAUGCAAUGGGCCCCGGUGUGCCCCUGGGAACGCCUAUUGUUGUGGAAGACAAGGAUAAACCGAAUGUCAUGGAGGGGGAAGGAACAACGGAUGAGGUAUUGCAACAUCUUCCUGGAUCUAACUUUGUACUUCCUACUGCUAGUGCCACUCAGGACCCUUCUCCUACUUCAAAUAAGAAGAGAAAGAGGGCAUCUGGCUUGACAGAGGAGGACUCAAUCCAGUGUAGCAACAUGACUGAUGCUAUGCGUGAGAUUGCAAGUGCUAUCAACAACACUUGCCAUGCUGAAACACACCCCGACUUGUACAAGGCUGUCAUGGACCUUCUUGUGUUUAAUCAAGAUGAGCGCUUGGCUGUUUUAGAUUAUCUCACAGAACAUAAGGCAAAAGGCCUAAACUUUGUGAAGAUGGAUGAUGAAGUCCGAAAAGCAUCGUUCAAGCGAAUCUUGAAAGCCAAUCCCGGUCUUGUUUGA
rnacentral:rRNA from 1 species